AUCCUGUAAAACAACCAUGCCAAGUAGAAGGGUCAUGACUGGGGCAAGAUGUUCUUUUCCUUUUUCUAUAGAAACCUUUAAGAACACGGAACUACCUAAUGGGGCAUUGUUUCUGUAACUAGGGUAACGGGGCUCUGUUUCUGUAACUGGGGUGACUGGGCUAACUGUGAUUGGUUAGGCUUCCUACCACUUGACCCCACUCUCCCGCUUCGGUAACCUGGCUUGCCUUGCAUUGGCUAGACCCCAAACAUCCCUUUUGCGGUUUUCAGGCUUAUAAAGAGAGCCCUUGAAAUUGUUCGGGGCUGAUCAGGGGAACAGCUUUAUGUUCUGGUCAGCCGCCACCAGUGUGUUUCAAUAAAGGCUUGAUUUGAUUAUUUGUGAGUGAUCUGGAAGUCAGUUUAUGAAACCCCGGGAUGAAGCUUUAACUGUGACACCUUUCCUCUCAGCAUGCACUGGGGACAUCUUCCUGAUUUUAAAAUAGGCAGAAUUUGCAGCUAUUGCACAAGGUUGCUGAAAAACCUUUUGCAAUAUUAAAUCAUUCCCAUUAUUCCUGAAUCUGUGGCCAGGCCCAGGGCACAACCAUCAGCAUGAAUCAGUUACCUGGCGUUGGCCACCAAAGGUUAAAUGCUAUCCUCUUAAAUUUCUUCAGUUAUACAAACCUUUUGGACAAGAUUUAAAUAUUUAAUUAACUGAAUUCCCAAGGCUUUAUGUAUAUACUUUGACUUUAAUGCUUAGGGAUUUAGGCCAACAUCUCUGGGCUCCUAUUUUGGUUCAUGGGCAGAGGGGUGAGCAGAGGGAGUCCCAGCUCCCCAAGGCCUGACUCUGAGUAACCCCAGUGCCUCCCUUGAAGGAACGAGGCUCCCCGCUGUCCCCACUGUUGCUCAGGCUGCCCUUCGGGGGUCUCACUCUCCACCCAAGAGGUCGUGUAGACAGUUCUCCAAGUGUACCCCAUGCCCACCCUGGCUCAGUUCAAUUCGCCCCUUCUCCUUACAUCCUUGGGAUUCUUAAGGGUCUCUGCAGUCUUCUUGGUCAGCCCUUCCUAACCUAUCUCUCCAUCCGGCCUUGGCUCAGUGUCAAAAGUUCACGGGGAAAUAAAGAGAGAGAAAAAAACCCUCAGGGAAGUCCAGGCUGGUGGUGAAGCAUCCCCUGGGCAUUACCAUUUGCUAGCUGUGUGACCUUGGGCAAGUUUCUUAACUGCUCUGGGCCUGAAUAUCUCUACCUGUAAAAUGGAGACAAUAUUAAGCUGACUUCAUUCAGUUGUCCUAAAGAUUUAAAGAGUUCAUAUUUGCAAAAUGCUUGUUACAUGAAACAAACUUCCUUCUCAGUUCCACUGAUCGAACAGCCGUCACCUUGACUUUGAUGCCAAGCUGGGGUGGCGGGGGGGGAGAAAGCCAGGCGCCUGCUCUGCUGGUGCAAGACAGUGACUGCAGCUUAUGGUCUCUUUUUAAAGGUACCGAGAGGCACGAGCACCUAAUGCAGGUUGUUUCCCCAUUGUACAGGCAGCUCAGAAAGGCGCAAUGACCUGGUGACAGGCCACACGGCAGGUGAGCCGCAGGUAACCUGGGAAAUGCACCCUCUGAAAAAGCCACUUCCUGCCUUUCUCCGUCAAGGCCUCUGCUGAACUUGAGUCUGAGGUCCAACCGGCCCCGCCUUCCACGUGGACCACCACAGGGGAUGACUCAGCCUCCUCGUGUGAAAGGCCAGAGUCGCUUGCAAGGCCAUCGAGUGUGAGCGUGUCCCACCGCACAGUACCAGGACGGUGGCGCCUGCAGAGUUGCAGCGUGGUCAUCUGCGGGGGCCAUUGUUGGGUUGGACAGGACACAAGGCAGCUGAAGGUAGGUCACCCAUUCCCCGUGUUCAUCUUCCUAUUAGGAAAACUAGCCCCUCUGUGGCUGGCAGGCCGGGGAGGGCCCCGUCUCCACUUCACAGAGAGAAACUGAGGCCCAGAGAGCGAGAAGGAGCCCCCGCCCAACGCCCAGGGCUGGGCCCCGUCAGGACGUCAGACUGCUCCUCGGCCAGCCCCUCCCUUCUGGCUCUCUUUCCCUCACUUUCCCAGAAUCUGGUCGCUGGUCACUGUGGCUGGACAGGGCUAUGGGCACAGAUCUUGCAGGGCCACCUGGGCUUUCCCCUGGCGUCAGCUCAGCCGGGGAGUCCACCCUGGGUACUUCCUGACACAGGUACUUCCUGGGUACACCUGUUGUGCAACAGGAGAUUGGGACCUGGGGGACUGCUGGUCCAGGAAGUCCUUCCCAGCCUGCCCCCCUGUCCCUGCCAGGAAUGAACUGGCCUCGCCCCAAUAUCCUCACUGGCCAGGUCACAGGGCCUGCGGAUCGGAGACCAGUCUGAUUGUAGUGCCACAGCUUUUACACAGCCCCUUCGUCUUUCCCAUCUGUCCCUCUCGCUGGUCUGCUCUCCGGGACGCUGACUGGGGUGCACCCCUGGGUCCUGCCCCACCCCCCAGCCGGGUGCCACCCGGACAGCUGUGCUCCAGAGUCCCAACACGGCUCACCCCCGAUGUGGCAGCCCCACGCCCUGCUCUUCUGUGCAAACCAUGGCUGGUCUUGCUGCCCCUCUGGGCCUCAGACCCCUAGCCUGCCCCGGGCCCAUGGGAAGCCCCUUGCUAUUUCCAGCGUGCAGACGAGGCUCGUCCCCUCCAGCUGAGUCCUCAGACUUUGAGCCACUCAGACGCACUAUCGGAUUGCUCCAGAGCCCAGUGUCCCCAUACGACUCGACAUGGAGAAGGUGCCCAGUGGCUUGUCAAGGAAAUGAAGAGGAGAGGUCCUUCAGCAGGUCGGGCUGCUUUCCAGGGGCUGCCCUCUGUGGCUAGAGAGCAAGGCCCCUCUCCUGCCCUCCUGCAGCUGCCUGUGGGGGAACACCCAGGGAAGCACACUGAGACCCCAGGCCACCAUCUGAAGGCACAAGGGUACGGAGGUCUCAGGAAUGGGUGAGGAAAUGGGCCAUUCCAGCCCAAUUUUGUUUCUGAUUAUCUGUCCAAGAAACGAAAAGAACAUUCUCUCCAUUCUCAAGACCUUUUUAUUGUUGUUGCUUUGGUUGUUUGUUUGUUGGGUUGUUUGUUUUCUGGUUUUUUUUGUGCACCAGGGGUUGAACUCAGGGGCACAUGACCACCGAGCCCCAUGCCCAGCUCUAAUUUGUGUUUUAUUUAGAGACAGGGUCUCGCUGAAUCACUUAGUGCCUCACUUUUGCUGAGACUGGCUUUGGACUCGGGAUCCUCUUGCCUCAGCCUCCCGAGCCACAGGGACGACAGGGGUGCACCACUCGGAAACCAUCUUUCAACCUCAGGAGAUAGCACAGUGCCACUGUCCUGGGGACUUCGGUGUGCACCAGAACUUCCGAAGGGGUUUGGCACAGCGCAGGCCAUGGGGCCUCAGGGUUUGUGAUUUCCCAGUUUUGGGGCCAGGCUGAGAAUUCCUGGCUUAAACGAGCUCUGGGUGUGGCUUCUGGUCAAUGCACCUCACAGAGCAGCCAGUGGUGCUGGGUCUAGGCCCUGGCUCUGCCUUCGCCUUCCCCUGUGACCCAGGCUCUGCUCUGGGCUUGGGUCACCCUCUAUGCAAUAGGGUGGAGUGUGCCCUGGAUGUGGCAGUCUCGGUGCCUUCCAGACCAGGCAUCCCAGCCCUGUAGUACAGCUCCUGGGCCUGGGCAGGGCACCCCUGGGGCUGCUGUCUGGGGCAGGUGGCAGAGCGGGAGCUCGAGGAGGCUGAGCAGUGGGACAGCCGAGGCGGGUUUGAAAACCUCCGGUCCCCAGUAUGAAGCCAACUGCUCGAGACCUGUUCCUUCUCUUAGGUAGAAAAGGUUGGAAAGUUCAGAUGCAUCAACUUCCCAGGGAAGGAGGAGAGAGUUAAGAAAGAAAGAAAUCAGAACCCAAGAGUCAGGAGACGUGGAUUUCCGACAGUCAACCCAGACAAGUUUAAAUGCCUUCACUCCUGCACCUCUUCCAAGGUGGCUGCUUUGUGACUUCUCCCAAGAAACUCCAGGGGACUCAGCCCAGACGUCCAUCAGCUGGCCCACAGAGGCGCACGUCUGUGCUCGCCUACGGUUUGGAUUAGCUUGACGUGACCAUCUACACUCAGCACCACCAUGAUGGCUCCCCAGUACCCCUUGGGGUUUUGCCUACGGAGCUUCAAGCACACUACAAACAGACAACCACUGGACAGGUGUGUGGGGGGGGUCAGGGUGGUCCCUGUGCCGGGACUGUGCCUGACCCUUUGAUGUAAGCUCAGGGUAAACCAGGUACAAGCCAGUGAAGAUGAAGUCACCCCUCCAGCUGACCUAAACUACAGGCACCCUCUUGGUCUCACUGCUGCCCAGGACAAUGCUUCUGUGAGUAACCCCAGGUGAACUGUGCUGGGGGGCGGCUCCCAUCCGUCUUCCUCUUUCCUGAUGCUCAUUGUACCUCGGGUGCCAGGUGCAUUCCCUGAGGCUGGAUUGUUCUGGAAUAACACAAUGGCAUCUUGUAGGGAAAAGGAGUGAAGUACCCAUAUAUGAUACGGCAUGGAUGACCUUAAAAGCAUCACGCUGACAGAACAUGUCACCAAAGGGUACAUAUUGUAGGAUUCCGUCCAAACGAAAUAUCCAGCAUAAAUGAAGCAACAGAGGCAGAAAGUUAGGUGGUGGUUUUGUAGGUUCUGGGGAGGCAGCGAUGGGAGUGGUUGCUAAAGAGAUGUCGGGUUUCCUUCAGGGGGGUGAGAGUGUAUGGAACUAGGUGGGGGACAGAACACUGAGAAUGUACCAACUGUCAUUCAUUCCUGGCCAACUCUAUCUUAUAUAUAUUUUGCCUCAAAAAUAACAAUUGCUCAUGGUAACCUGGGUGUAUGUCCUCCCUGUGCAUCAUGGCUGGAUUGUAUUCCCCAGGAAAUCUGCUGAAGUCCUGACCCCCAUCAGUACCUGGGAAUGUGACCUUAUUUGGAGGGAGGGUCUGAAGGGUAUGGAAAUUGAUAACCCUCAGGACAGGGAAAUGACAAACCUCCAAAACUGUCUGACCUGGAGGACGAGGGAGGAGGAAGGCAUCCUGAAUCCUUCCCAGGACACCCUUUCUCAGUGACAAGGGGUCCCCAGGUUUCACCCCUUCCCAGGUUCAUCCCCAGCAUGGCCACCAAAGCACACACUCAUCCCUCCCCCACAACCGGUCCUGAAGGCUGGGCCCUGUCCCAUUGCCAAUGAGUCCUGGUCAUUAGGGUGUGGCCAAGUCAUAUGCCUGGUGUCCUUCUGAAAAAUGUGAACACAGAGAAACAGGGAGAAUGCCCCCUGACCCCUGACCUUUGAGGAAGAGACUGGAAGCCAAGGAAUGGCCGGGGCUACCAAAUGCUGGAGGUGAGGCCUGGGCACUAACUCUGGGUGGUCUGCCUAGCAGGGGCACUGGCCGGGGUUGGACCCCCAUACUGCAAGUACUGAUACG